rnacentral:lncRNA from 1 species
GGUGGAAAUCACUCCUUUUUUAUUUUUUCCCAAAAAGACCCUUCAACAUUAAAGAAGCAUUAAAGAGGCAUUAAAGAACUAAUUUUUAUUAAGGGCAUAAUAGGAAUUAUACAUAACUUUUCUAGGAAAGUGGAUGGUCAACCAAACAUAAGCACUUUGGAAAUUUGUCACUUUCCCAUGGUUAACCAAACAUGCCAAAAAUACUUUCCUAGGUAUCCUCUUCCUAGGAAUCUGAUUUCCAGGAAUCAUAUUCCUAUGAGGGAAAAUACUUCCCGCGAACCAAACGAGCCCUAAAUAAAUUAAUUUAUUAAGAUGCCCAAGCAACUCAAUAAAGUCAGUGAAAAAGUCACACAGCCGGUGUGGUGUAUUGUCAUCGCCUGCAAUCGCGGAGUGUGCUAUUAAGGGGCGAGGUGAUUGCCUCCGGAUCAAAGAUAUUGUGGAUGGAGGUGAUGAGAUCUGGUUGCACUAGGAGUGGCUUUUUUUAGUGGUUUUCCUGAGUUAUCGCAGCAUCAGUCAUUAGUAAAUUAUAAUAAGCAAAACCUGGCAAUCUUCUCUAACAGGGAGGUUACCGUACUUUGAACAAGACGGCAUCCGCCGGAGGGAUGUGCUCGAACAUGU